rnacentral:lncRNA from 1 species
AUUUAUGCAUUCAAACGAUUUUCAAAAGAUACAUUGGAUUUAAACUCCGAAAUUACAACGCAUUAAUAAACCUAACAACAUCAUUAAACGCAAGUAUAUAUUCACAAUAUUUAAGUAUUACAUGGACUAUAUCAUAAUACACAAAUAAUAAGAAUAAGAAUUAACUAGUAAAACAAUACUCUAAUUAAAAUUAAAAAAUGAAAGAAAUAAUAAUGUUGGAAAAUA